rnacentral:rRNA from 1 species
CUGAUGCAGCAUGCCGCGUGUAUGAAGAAGGCCUUCGGGUUGUAAAGUACUUUCAGCGGGGAGGAAGGGAGUAAAGUUAAUACCUUUGCUCAUUGACGUUACCCGCAGAAGAAGCACCGGCUAACUCCGUGCCAGCAGCCGCGGUAAUACGGAGGGUGCAAGCGUUAAUCGGAAUUACUGGGCGUAAAGCGCACGCAGGCGGUUUGUUAAGUCAGAUGUGAAAUCCCCGGGCUCAACCUGGGAACUGCAUCUGAUACUGGCAAGCUUGAGUCUCGUAGAGGGGGGUAGAAUUCCAGGUGUAGCGGUGAAAUGCGUAGAGAUCUGGAGGAAUACCGGUGGCGAAGGCGGCCCCCUGGACGAAGACUGACGCUCAGGUGCGAAAGCGUGGGGAGCAAACAGGAUUAGAUACCC